rnacentral:rRNA from 1 species
AAAGUGGAGCAAUCCAUGAGUACAGUGGCGUACGGGUGAGUAACACGUGGGUAAUCUACCUUUUAGUGAGGAAUAACCGAGGGAAACUUUGGCUAAUACCGCAUAAGCCCGAGAGGGGAAAGCAGAAAUGCGCUGAAAGAGGAGCCCGCGGCCGAUUAGCUAGUUGGUGGGGUAAGAGCCCACCAAGGCAGAGAUCGGUAGCCGGCCUGAGAGGGCACACGGCCACACUGGCACUGAAACACGGGCCAGACUCCUACGGGAGGCAGCAGUGGGGAAUCUUGCACAAUGGGGGAAACCCUGAUGCAGCGACGCCGCGUGAGCGAUGAAGCCCUUCGGGGUGUAAAGCUCUUUCGUCAGGGAAGAUAGUGACGGUACCUGGAGAAGCAGCUGCGGCUAACUACGUGCCAGCAGCCGCGGUAAUACGUAGGCAGCAAGCGUUGUUCGGAGUUACUGGGCGUAAAGGGUGUGUAGGCGGUUCCUUGAGUUUGCUGUGAAAUCUCCCGGCUUAACCGGGAGGGUGCGGUGAAUACUGAGGGACUAGAGUACGGGAGAGGAAAGUGGAAUUCCUGGUGUAGCGGUGAAAUGCGUAGAUAUCAGGAGGAACACCGGUGGUGUAGACGGCUUUCUGGACCGUAACUGACGCUGAGACACGAAAGCGUGGGUAGCAAACAGGAUUAGAUACCCUGGUAGUCCACGCCCUAAACGAUGCAUAUUUGGUGUGGGCAGUUCAUUCUGUCCGUGCCGGAGCUAACGCGUUAAAUAUGCCGCCUGGGGAGUACAGUCGCAAGGCUGAAACUC